GGAAUAUUGGUCAAUGGACGAGAGUCUGAACCAGCCAAGUAGCGUGCAGGACGACUGCCCUAUGGGUUGUAAACUGCUUUUAUGCGGGAAUAAAGUUCACUACGUGUAGUGUUUUGUAUGUACCGCAUGAAUAAGGACCGGCUAAUUCCGUGCCAGCAGCCGCGGUAAUACGGAAGGUCCGGGCGUUAUCCGGAUUUAUUGGGUUUAAAGGGAGCGCAGGCUGAUGAUUAAGCGUGACGUGAAAUGUAGCCGCUCAACGGCUGAACUGCGUCGCGAACUGGUUAUCUUGAGUGAGUUCGAUGUUGGCGGAAUUCGUGGUGUAGCGGUGAAAUGCUUAGAUAUCACGAAGAACUCCGAUUGCGAAGGCAGCUGACGAGUCCUUAACUGACGCUAAAGCUCGAAAGUGCGGGUAUCGAACA
rnacentral:rRNA from 1 species